rnacentral:rRNA from 1 species
AACGAACGCUGGCGGCAUGCCUAACACAUGCAAGUCGAACGAGACCUUCGGGUCUAGUGGCGCACGGGUGCGUAACGCGUGGGAACUUGCCCUUAGGUUCGGAAUAACUCCCCGAAAGGGGUGCUAAUACCGGAUAAUGUCCUCGGACCAAAGAUUUAUCGCCUUUGGUUGGGCCCGCGUUGGAUUAGCCAGUUGGUAGGGUAAAAGCCUCCCAAGGCGACGAUCCAUAGCUGGUCUGAGAGGAUGCUCAGCCACACUGGGACUGAGCCACGGCCCAGACUCCUACGGGAGGCAGCAGUGGGGAAUAUUGGACAAUGGGCGAAAGCCUGAUCCAGCAAUGCCGCGUGAGUGAUGAAGGCCUUAGGGUUGUAAAGCUCUUUUACCCGGGAUGAUAAUGACAGUACCGGGAGAAUAAGCUCCGGCUAACUCCGUG